rnacentral:rRNA from 1 species
AUGGACCUCCUCUUCGAGCGGGCGCGAGGUAAGGCUUCGCCUGUCAAGGAGUUCCAGUGGCUCGGGCUGAUGCUGUUCGUUGCCGUUCUGUUCCCAUGGACCAGCGCCAUCAUCGCGUCUGUCCUGGACAUGCCGUUCUUGUCAGGCUUGUCCAUCAACUUUGUGGGAGUCGUCCUAGCAGGGUUGGUGGUAAACUUGCUCAUGAAUUUCGGUCUGAAGUAUGUCAUUGGCACGGGGGCGCUCCUCUUUAUUGUAUCAACUGUCAUAUGGGGUGCCCUUGAGGGUCUGAAGAAAUCGUCGAAUACAAAAUGA